GAGUGUCUUGCUCCGCCUUCAGCUGAGGUGUGGGCGCAGCCCUUUUCCACGAGGAGCUCUGGUGAACAAGUGCGAGUCCUCUACAUGUGGUGCUCUGCAAGCAAGUGAAAAUAGACUAAGCUCAAAGGAAAGAAAAGCGCUUGAUGACAAUUUUACCAAAAUGCUACCAUGUCCAUUGAUCACCUUUGAGAUUAAAAGAAAUAUUGUGAGGAAGACUGGUGUAUGAUCAGUCAGAUUAAUGAUUACUUAAGGUGAAAUGGAAGCUAAAAAAGAUUCAACAUCAGUCAUCUAUGGAAAAUGAAUAGGUGAUCUUCUAGGUAUGUUCCAAGCUUUAGUAAUUCAUGACCUAAGGAAUAACUGUAGUCAUGAAGUUAAGAUGUAAAUGUUUAAUUACAAUAAUUACCAACAAUGUUUCUGUACACUAUAGUAGAGAAGCUAGAGAAAAGUGUAUGUGAGUGUAAAACACUUAAAGUUGAUAUACAAGAGAAAUGUUUUAUUAAUUUAUUGGAAGAUAUUUCAUUUUUCUCAUACAAAAGUAUUACCUAGUGAUAUCUAAUGACUUUCCAUGUUUUGUUGUUAUUAUCAUUUUGACCUCUUGUGUUUCAUAAUAUGUUUGCAAACAAUUACAUCCAUCUAGGGGAAAUUGUUUAGAGACCUAACAGCCUUCUAUGAGUCAAAAUCAUUUGUGCAUAGAACAAGUAAAAAUCAUUUAACAUAUAGGAAUAUAACAUGUAUAGCUGGUAAAUCUGAAAUUGCUAAUGUAGAUUGCCACUCCAGUCAAUAUAUAUCAAACAUUUCUAUCAAAUGUACCAUCUAUCAUGUAUGUGCAUUGCUUUUGUAGUUUUUAUUUCCCUUUUUAUUGUAGAAAGUAUAUAUUACUGUGACUAAAAACUACUCUUUGGGGAAUACAGUGGUUUCCAGGUCAGUGGAAAUGUGGAUUUAAAUAUUAAAAAGUGGAGUAGUUUAACCCUAGUUUGACCUUUAUCACCUCUCAGGUGAAUUGGGUGUAUUUGAAAGAAUGUAUCUGAAAAACAACAGAAUAGCGAAAAAAUUACAUCUGUGUAACCCUGUGGUCAAUCCAAUAACAGUAUUUUUAAUGAAUAAGUUCAAAACAGUAUACAUGUGUGUAUGUCCACUGUGUCUCUUUGUUUGUGCAUAUUUGUAUUUAUGUACUUAUGUAUUUUCAAUGCAUUGUCUGUCUUGUGAAUAUUUCAGUCUUUCAAGACAUCAUUUGCUUUUUCUACCAAAAUAUCAAUCUCCAUUUAUAUUACUCUAGCAAGUAAACUUCAAGCUUCAAAUAAGUUAAGAAAUACUGCCAUGAAAGCUGGAAAGAAGGAGUCUAAAGACCAACUUAUUGGAAUUCCUGCUAUGGCUCAGUGGGUUAAGAACCUAACUAGCAUCCAUGAGGAUGUGGGGUUCAUUCCUUGGCCUUGCUCAGUGGAUUAAGGAUCCGGUGUUGCUGUGAGCUCUGGUGUAGGUUGCAGACACGGCUCGGAUCCUGUGUUGCUGUGGCUGUGGUAUAGGGCCACAGCUGCAGCUCCAAUUCUACUCCUGGCCUGGGAACUUCCUUAUGCCAUGGAUGUGGCCCUAAAA
rnacentral:lncRNA from 1 species